rnacentral:rRNA from 1 species
UUCGUAGGUGGCCCGCCAAGUCAGACGUGAAAUCCCUCAGCUUAACUGGGGAACUGCGUCUGAGACUGGCGGGCUUGAGGGUCGGAGAGGAACGCGGAAUUCCAGGUGUAGCGGUGAAAUGCGUAGAUAUCUGGAGGAACACCGGUGGCGAAGGCGGCGUUCUGGACGACUUCUGACACUGAGGAACGAAAGCCAGGGGAGCAAACGGGAUUAGAUACCCCGGUAGUCCUGGCCCUAAACGAUGAAUGCUUGGUGUGGUGGGUAUCGAUCCCUGCCGUGCCGUAGUUAACGCGUUAAGCAUUCCGCCUGGGGAGUACGGUCGCAAGGCUGAA